UUUCUUCCUUUUUUGUUUUUUUUUAAACCCGGUAGUAGCCUGAGCAAUGACUCCCAAGCUAUCUAGAAGGGAAACAUCUUUUAAAUUAUAAUUUUGGGGGGGAGGGCGCUGCUUUUUUGAAAUCUAAGCUAAGCAUGUGUAAUUUCUUGUGAAGAAGCCAACACUUAAAUGACUUUGAAAGUUGUUUACUUUUUUAGUCCUUCUUUUUUCAGUCCUGAAAUAAAAAGUGGCAUGCUUUUUGUUUUUUUUUUUAAAGGGGGGGUGCAGAUGUACAGCGAUAACAAUCUUUAAAGUUGUAGCACUUUGUUUCAGAUUUGGAAUAUGGGGAUGCAGCACUGAUGUUGUCCCAAAUAACAGAGGCCUUUUCUGUGUUGAUUUCAACCCUACCGUACAUGAGGAAACCUUUGCGUGGUGGUGGCGGCGUGGGGAGAGGCAUCCCCACCCACCAAAAAACCUCAGCACUGCCAGAGACCCAGGGGUUUUUGAGGGAGAUGGCCCAAGAGCGUUCUAAAACUGUGCAUUUCUGGCCGAUCUCCAUUUCUUGGAAUGUCGAUGUGCCCUGAGAUGCCCCCUUCGCUAUUUGCGGUAGAUUAGACUGCCUCCGAUGGGCUGGGGAUACUUUUGGGGGGUGGAUGGUGGUGGCCCGCAGGAACUCCAAACACAAGAAACCAGCGGUGUCCUUUCAGGCGUCUCCUGGCUUGACUGCUUCUCUCUAGCUUUUUAAUCACCCCCACCACAGAAAUCCUAAGUCACAUGUUGCUACAGGGGACAACCGAUCGUUUCUCAAGCAGACAAGUGUCCUGAUGGCAAAAUGAGGGAAGUUCGCAUUCUCUCUUGUCAUGCAUCCUGAUGCCCUGGUGCAGACAGGCAGGGGGAAAUCUCGUGAAUUUCAGUUCCCUUUUUACCAGAAAUCGGGAAGAGUUCCACCCGGAGGUACCCAGCGCUACUUCCCAGGUUUUUUUUGGUGUGUGUGUUUUUUGUUUGUUUGUUUGUUUGUUUUUCUGUCCCAUUAGGUUGGAAAGUACUAAACAUUGGACUGUUGAGAUUAGACAUUUGGAUUCUGUUGACCCGCACUUUAAAGCUUUUGUUUGCAUUUAAAUUAAAUGGCUUCUAAACAAGAAAUUGCAGCAUCUUCUUCAUUUUGGCCCAGAGGUGGGUUAAACUGCAAGGGACCGCUGAGAUUGAGUGUCAGUAUUGCUAAGCGUGGCAUUCACAAUACUGGCACUAUAAAGAACAAAAUAAAAUAAUAAUUUAUUGGACAGUUUUUCUACUGCCAUUCAAUUUGAUGUGAGUGCCUUGAAAACUGAUCUUCCUAUUUGAGUCUCUUGAGACAAAUGCAAAACCUUUUUUUUUUUUUUUUGAAAUGAAAAGACUUUUUAAAAAAGUAAAACGAGAAAAGUACAUUUCUUUAGAAACAAACAAAGCCACAUUUCCUUUAAAUAAAUUUUUAAAAAUCCUGGUUGAAGACAUGACAAUGCCAUAAGACCCAAUCAAAUGAAGAAAUAAACCCAGCACAACCUUGGACAUCACUAGCUGAAUUAUCCUCAGCCCCUUUUGUCUGUGGGACAACGCUGCUUACAUGUGGAGUGGAGGUGAUUUACUGCUGAAUUAAAACUCAAGUGACACAAGUUACAAGUUGCUAUCGUUGAAUGAAAAAACAAAAACAAUUCAGGAACAACGGCUAAUUUUUUUCUAAAGUUAAAUUUAGUGCACUCUGUCUUAAAAAUACGUUUACAGUAUUGGAUACAUACAAGGGUAAAAAAAAAUUGUGUGUAUGUGUGUUGGAGCGAUCAUUUUUUUUUUCAAAGUUUGCUUAAUAGGUUACAAAAAAAAUGCCACAACGGCUGCGUGUAUAUUGUUUUCUUUUGGUGACGGGGUUUUAGUAUAUAUUAUAUAUAUUAAAAUUUCUUGAUUACUGUAAAAGUGGACCAGUAUUUGUAAUAAUCGAGAAUGCCUGGGCAUUUGACAAAACAAGAAAAAAAAAAAAACCCUUUUCUUUUCCUUGAAAAUGUUGCAGUAAAAUUUAAAUGGUGGGUCUCUAAUAAUUUGUUCUUGUCACAGUAACUGUAAAGUCGGAGUUUUAGUAAAUUUUUUUCUGCCUUGGGUGUUGAAUUUUUAUUUCAAAAAAAAAAAUGUAUAGAAACUUGUAUUGGGGGAUUAAAAGGGGAUUGCUACACCAUGUAGAAAAAGUAUGUAGAAAAAAAAGUGCUUAAUAUUGUUAUUGCUUUGCAGAGAAAAAAAAAAAUCCACAUUUCUGAUCUGUACUUAUUUUUCUCCUCCCACCUCCCUCUGGAAUGGAUAUAUUGGUUGGUUCAUAUAAUGUAGGCACUUGCUGUAUUUUUACUGGAGCUUGUAAUUUUUUAACUGUAAGCUUGUCCUUUUAAAGGGAUUUAAUGUACCUUUUUGUUAGUGAAUUUGGAAAUAAAAAGAAAAAAAAAACAAAAACAAGCAGGCUGCCAUAAUAUAUUUUUUUAAUUUGGCAGGAUAAAAUAUUGCAAAAAAAAAUUUGUAUGUUAAGUCCUAUUGUACAGGAGAAAAAAAAAAAAAAAGGUUGUUUGACAACCUCUGAGGAAAAGAAACAAAAGGAAGUAGGUAAAUGCUUUGGUUCACAAAUCAUUUUAGUUGUAUAUAUUUUUGUCGGAAUUGGCCUCGACAAAGGACUGUUGGAAUAGAUAGGGCUUCACUCUGAACGCCCCCAACCUUGCAUCAAGGCUCCCUGGUGUGGCCACAGCAGACCAGACGGGAAAUUCUGUAUUCGUGUUGAGUGGAAAAAUCAGUUUUUGUAAAGAUGUCGGUAGCAUUUCACUGUCCUCCCUUUCUCUCCGAGGCCAUCGGUAAGGGUGGCAGCUGUGGAGGAAGAGAGGCCAAAAGCAUCUUCCUCCUCUGCUGUCACCACCGUGGCGUCGCCACCGCCACAUCUCCCGCCCUUCAGAGCAGAAAGAAGUGCACACCGAGCUUUCUUUAGUCCUUGAGAAAACAUUAAACAGAAAAAUGUAAUAAAGGGAGCUGGCGUAUCAGGCGCAGGUGACGUGAUCUGUGGCUGGGACCAGCGCAAAUCAAAUCGGAGUCCCUGUCACAACCAGGACCUUAUAUUCCAUGGAGAGGGUUGGCCUGUUGUCUUUCUUACCUGCUUUGCUGCUUUUCUCUCUGAAACCUACAUUCCGUCAGUUUCCGAAUGCCUAGGGCCUGGGCUGAAUUCGGUGCCUUUCCAUAGCUCUUUCUCUUUGCUUCUUCUGCAUUUCCUCUCCAUCCUCCAGCCUCUGUCGGUCUUUGAUUUGUCCUUUUCAUUUUUAUUUGAUUUAUUUCUCCCUUUCUGUCCCCCCCCCCUUUUUUUUUGUAAAGCCAGGUAGCUUUAAGAUAAUAAACUGGUGGUUUUUUUGGAUGAGGGAAUAAUACAUUUUUUUAAAAAAAACCUAUAUCAGGAAGCCUUUUUUUUUUUUUUUUUUUUUUAAUUUCAGGAACUCUAAGAAACCAUUAUUUCAGGUUAUGAAAGUAUAACCAAGCAUCCUUUUGAGCAGUUCUUUACCAAAUGCAGAAAUCUUUCUUCUGGGCGCUCUUCUGUUCCACACGCCCUUUCCUUCUUGCCACUUACCUUUGCAAAGUGCAAAGAAAAGGGGAGGAAGUACGAGAUAAAGCUGAGAUGUCCCUGUCCUGCCUGCUUGUCCCCAAGACCCGGGGGCUACCCUGGAUGCCCCGGGAAGGUCCCCGAGAGCCUCGGUCUUGAUCCUCCCGUAGUUACCAAUGCUAGCCAGCGCGUGCCAGCCCGUGCAAAGUCACCCCAAUGCCAGGACUAAGCCAUCCUAAAGCACAAAGAUUGUGUCUCUGUCGAUGACGAAGGCAGAGAAAAGAGUACGUGGCUUCUCUUUCAUGUUUAAAAAGCCAACGCUGAAGCAGACGACUCCGUGAGAGAGAGGCCCGAGCCCCGGGGAGGGGUGGGGACCCAGCCGACCUCAGGCUGGUUUCCAUGCUGCCACCACUUGAUUCAAAGCUGCCCCAAAUUGGAACCUGCCACUUGCCAUUGGAGGGUCUUUCAUGGGGAGAGGAGGAGGCUGAAUUCCUCUAGGCAAAAUGUGAAAAGUAGGGAAAUGGGCCUUUUUGUCCCGGUCCUGAGUGACAGUCAAAGGCUUUUUGGAACACAGACAAACCCAUGACUUUGGUGCUCUUUGUAUCAGCCUUGUGAAGCAAAGUUACAUUGAGUUAAGUAUUUGCAUUUGUACUGGCAAGGCGAAAUAUUUUUACUACCUUUUCUAUUAUUGUAUGAGCUUUUGUUGUUUACCUGGAGGUUCUGUCUUUUACUACAAGUUUGGAACUAUUUAUUAUUGCUUGGUAUUUGUGCUCUGUUUAAGAAACAGGCACUUUUUUUUUUUAUUAUUAUGGAUAAAAUGUUGAGAUGACAGGAGGUCAUUUCAAUAUGGCUUAGUAAAAUAUUUAUUGUUCCUUUUAUUCUCUGUACAAGAUUUGGGGCCUCUUCUUUUUCCCCUUAAUGUCACAAUGUUGAGUUCAGCAUGUCUGCCAUUUCAUUUGUACGCUUGUUCAAAACCAAGUUUGUUCUGGUUUCAAGUUAUAAAAAUAAAUUGGACAUUUAACU
rnacentral:lncRNA from 1 species